GGCAUAUCAAAAGCGUCUUCCAGACCAGCAAUGCUUUUCCCUGAGUGGCUUAGGAUCUGGGGAGGGGAGGCACAGCUGCAGCUGGUCCGGGACUUCUCCGGGCUCGGGGUGGGGGGUGCCCAAGGGUAGAAACACAUCUCUGAGGAGUAUACAGCAAUUCUGUUCCCCAGGAGCAGAGACAAAAACAGAAUCUUGCAGAAGUCUUGGACAAUGUGUCUCAGACCGCACUAGAACAUGUGACUUGUGCAAAACUCUAUAGAGUUUAGUAGCACCUCUCUCUGUGGCACGGAUGGCAAGCAUGAUAAUUUUAGUGUCAGCUUCCUCAUUGGGACUACAGAGCAACUCCACAGAACACUGUGAGGUGGUAGCUUCAUUAUACAAUGUAACAACUGAAGUCUUUGAGCAAUUCUUCAUAUGCUGGAGCAUUUUUCCUGCAAGAGAUGGAGAAACAGACACUGAGGGGCUGAUUUUUCAGAGAUGCUGAGCACUGUUAUAAGAGCACUGAAAGAGAUGGAUGCCUCUGACGUUGGCCUCAGGGGAGCGUGUUGUGCCAAGAGGUAGAGGAAGAAGAACACCCAAUCCUUUACCUCAGCUGGAAAUUGUUUGGCUGGGAAGUUGUGUACUCAGUAAUAGAGAAGGAGGCCUUGGCAGUAAUAUGGACUAUUGAAGCACUCUGCUACUACUUAUGCGGCCAGACAUUCCAUCUCGUGAGGGAUCAUGCACCCCUGUGAUGGCUGAACACCAUGAAAGACCAUAACCCGUGGAUUAUAAACGGGUACCUCAAUGCAGCUGUACAAGUUUGAGGUACUACAGUGAGCGGGACGUGAUCAUAAGAACAUGGGAGUUCUUUUCGUGGGACGGAGGAGACCCGUCUGCACAGACUCCAGUGCCCAGCCUGAGCGGGGGAGUAUGUGAUGACAUACACAGACCUUGUUUACAGACCUGACACUUAGGUUAAAGGAGUACUGGAGCAGUAUUGGGCCAAGCAGGCCCUGACCUUCUGCAGCUGUGGGGCAUGCUUCCUAUUCUAUGGAGGACCUGCUUAAAAGGGAGCUCUGGCAGGUAGGCAUGCAGGAGAGUGAAGGAGAGACAGGCUGAAAAAAAGCGGGCAGACACUAACAGCUGAAACAGAGCAGUCUGCAGGGGAAGGACUGGGACUGAGAGUAAGACUUGGCUGGGGCCCUGUCCCUUUUUCUCCCCUUCUCUCUGAAUAGUAGGAUCAACUGGACUCUGAGGGAGCUCUGAAUUACUGAGACUGCAAGGAGAAAGCUGGGGCCAUGCCCCAAGCUGAAGGAAAAACUGCCAGGGAAGGUAAGGAGGCGGCUGGGAAGGUCAAUUUGGAGCGGCACCCACAAGGACUGAGCCACCCCUCGCCUCUCUCCCCCUGGGCCAGAACCAAGUGGAAAGGGAGGGCCAGGUUCCCCUAAAUAUCUCUCCUCCCACUGUCUGCCUGAGAGAUCCUAGAGGACUCCAGGUUAGGGGUGGGCUUUGUGACAAACUGGGACUUGGCUGCCAGGCUACCCAGACUGCCUGGAAGAGCUGUCCCAACACUCAGAGAGACUAUCUGGCCAUGGCCUGACCACUAGGCCCCAAAGUGAAACCCGCUACAAGCAGUGAGAUUUAAAAGCAAGAGAACCAGUAGGAGGAGGAGAGCAGUCCCCCGACUGCUAGAGAAGUGAUAAGAAACUGCUUCUGGACUGACUGCACUGCAGCAUGGAA